UCCAGGUUCAUCCCCCGUCAAACCCACGCUUCAACGCGAUUCCUCUUAAUUCUCGUUAGGGUUAGGGGUUUCAUCUUUUCUUUCAUAUUUUCUCCUGCAAAAUUUGAAUGACCCACUCUUCUUCUUCUUCUUCUUCUUUCUCCAUACACACACAAUCAAUGUUCAAGCACUGCUACUGUACCUUGUGCAAACCCUCUUGCGUCUUCCUCCGUUGUUGUUAGCCAUCGGAAAUUUCACCGAUUGAAGCAGCAGCAGCAGCAGCAGCUUCAUUCAUGGACCUCUCUCACACUCAAUCCAAUUUGUCUCUCGGUUUUUCUUCUUCUCACGCUUCGCCUUCGCCGCCUCGCCGUCCACAGAUUCCCGAUGAAUCUAUCUCGCUUCACCUCGAAACCACCCUGCGUGAUCCUUCGCACCCGCUCCCUACGGUGCCGCUUCAGCUGCUUGAACCGCAGACGGAGAAUGGGAGCGUGGACGUCGAAUUGGAUGACGACGAGGAUAGAGAAGUCGAGGAGUUUCGUAUUCUAGGGCAUUCAAUGUGCUUGAAGAGGCGAAGGGAUUGCGAAUCCUCAUCAUCCUCUUCGAUUCCCACCAAGAGGGUUUCCGCCGAACCGGAUCUUGAGUCGCGGAGGGUUGCGGUUCGAUCGUGGGGUUGCCAACCCCUGCCGGUUGCUGACCCUGAUAUCUAUGAGAUAAUGGAGAAGGAGAAGAAAAGGCAAUUCGGAGGAAUUGAAUUAAUAGCUUCUGAGAAUUUUGUGUGUAGGGCUGUGAUGGAAGCACUUGGGAGCCAUUUGACGAAUAAGUACUCAGAGGGAAUGCCUGGUUCGCGCUACUAUGGAGGGAAUCAAUAUAUAGAUGAAAUCGAAACCCUAUGCUGUGAACGUGCCUUGCUCGCGUUUAAUCUCGACCCCAAGUGUUGGGGUGUGAAUGUGCAGCCUUAUUCUUGUACCUCUGCUAAUUUCGCUGUGUACACGGGAUUGUUAUUGCCCGGUGAUCGUAUCAUGGGUUUGGAUACCCCAUCUGGAGGGAAUACUAGUCAUGGGUACUAUACUCCUAAUGGGAAGAAAGUUUCGGGGGCGUCAAUAUUCUUUGAGAGCUUACCAUACAAGGUGAACCCUCAAACGGGUUAUAUUGAUUAUGAUAAGCUUGAGGAAAGGGCACUUGAUUUUCGUCCCAAGAUACUUAUUUGUGGUGGGAGCUCCUAUCCUCGAGAAUGGGAUUACGCUAGGUUUAGGCACAUUGCAGAUAAAUGUGGAGCUGUGUUAUUGUGUGACAUGGCCCAGAUUAGUGGACUAAUUGCAGCCAAGGAAUGUGUGAACCCUUUUGACUAUUGUGAUGUUGUUACUUCGACAACUCACAAGAGUCUUCGAGGUCCAAGAGGGGGCAUAAUUUUUUAUCGGAAGGGUACAAAACCAAGGAAGAGAGGGAUACUUCUAAGUCAGGGAUAUGAAAGUGAUCAAUAUGACUUUGAAGAAAAGAUAAAUUUUGCUGUUUUUCCGUCAAUGCAAGGGGGCCCGCACAAUAACCAUAUUGCGGCACUUGCUAUAGCUUUAAAACAAGUAGCUACUCCUGAGUACAAGGCAUACAUGCAGCAGGUGAAGAAGAAUGCUCAAGCUUUAGCAUCUGCUUUAUUGAGAAGAAAAUGCCGCCUAGUAACCGGGGGUACAGACAACCAUUUAUUACUCUGGGAUUUAAGGCCCCUGGGAUUGACAGGUAAAUUUUACGAGAGGGUCUGUGAGGCAUGUCAUGUCACUUUGAAUAAAAUUGCUAUUUUUGGUGACAAUGGAACUAUAAUACCCGGAGGUGUAAGAAUAGGUACCCCAGCCAUGACGUCAAGGGGGUGUCUGGAGGCUGAUUUUGAGACAAUGGCUGAAUUUCUCUUUAGAGCUGCACAAAUUGCAAACGUAUUGCAGAGGGAGCAUGGGAAAUUGCAGAAGACUGCUUUGAAGGGACUUGAGAGCAAUAGGGACAUUGCUGAGCUCCGGGUACGGGUUGAAGCUUUUGCAACUCAGUUUGCAAUGCCAGGUUUUGACAUCUGAAUGAUGUAGCUGGUGGAUUGCCAUUAUGGAUUAUUUAUAUAUGCUACACUGGGGGGUCGUCACGCCUCUGCUUGUUACAAAUGCUGAGUCAUCUUGGUAUGCAUAUAUUUUUGUGGUGCCUCCCUCCUCUCUGCAGUGUCCACAGUUUUCGGGUUUUUGCUUGUUGCAGUGAGUCACAAUGUGGUACAUGACCGUACAUAAGUGGGUACUGCUGUGGAGUGUUAUUUUGGUAAUCAAGUAUCCUGUUCCUGCCUCAAUGGCGGGCGCACCAUCCCUGCUGAAUGCAGCAAGUUGGCCAUUAUAGGGGUUUGAACAAGGAUUCUGGAUCAACCAAACUCAGUACAGAAUUCUUCUGGGGAAGCUGCAAAAAUAAAUAAUCUGAUAAAGAAGCGCUUUUGAGUUCAUGCAAGUGCGGCAUGUUUGAUUGACUCGGCACAGCGGAAGUAAUUUGGGUCAAUCAAUUGAGGAGCAGUUGCAAGCUCAAUGUAUCUAUUAACGCCACUUUGAUUUCCUCCUCCUCUUCUUCUUCUUAAUACCGAUAAUGCAUUAUAAUUAAAUUUUAAAGAAAAAUAACAACUAAUUAUUUGUAUUUGUGGUAUAGCUUACAAUUGAGGGAACCGAUAAUUUUUUUUCUGUCUUUAUUUUCAAGGUUAUAUUUGGAUCACUAGAAAGAUG